CGACCACUAUCCAGUCCACAUACAGUCUGCUUCAAUUAAACUCAACGAGAAAGUAAAUCGCUGCAGUGACUGAAGAAGACCAGUCAAGUACAUGGAUAGAAUGACCAAAGAUAAUCACGACACCUUCCGCUGUACAUGUGGUCGCGGAUGCGUUCUGUCUCUGGUGCCGCAUUCUGCAACAGGACGCGCAAACUAUGGAGGGUCAUUCAUCCCUUACUUGGUACCGCAGUAUACGAGUAGACCACUCCUGCGGACACUAGAGCCUGCGCGUGAAGAGAUCGCAGCGACCUCGACCUCACCGUCAAUUAGUUCAGUUCCUGAAAAAAACUCACCUUCACCAAAAGAAUAGAACACUAUAGACGAGUCACCAGGCAAGCUAAGGAAACAAUUUUCUUGAGAAUUCCAAAGCAAGCUAAAGAAGAAAAUAUAUUAUAUAAGGAGGCUCAACACCACAAUAAGUUACCCAAAGUUAUUGAGGAGACACGUCUUAAAGGAUUGGUCCUUAAUUAAUUAAGAAAGAUGAAAUAUUCUAUCUAUGUGUGUGUUUAUGUG